rnacentral:lncRNA from 1 species
UCGAUGACGGCGCCGACGACUGUGACAUCGUAGUGUGUGGUGUUGAUCAUCGUAGUUAUCGAUUGAUGAUGACGAUACGAUCAAGACAUUUUAGGGUUAGGGUUUUUGUGGGAGUUUUAAAAACGAGGGUAUUGUGUUGGAUUGUGAAUGGUUUACUUCUACGUUGUUAACAUGGGUAAUGCUGCUGAUGAAUCGUAGGAUUAG